rnacentral:rRNA from 1 species
AGAUCACGUGAAAUUUCAAGGGUCGAACAGACCCAAUAUUUUGGCUGCUACACCAAAAAUAAAUUUUAAUCCAACAUCGAGGUCGCAAACUUUUUCAUCAAUAAGAACUUUCAGAAAAAAUUACGCUGUUAUCCCUAAGGUAAUUUUAUCUUGUAAUCUAAAAAAUAGGAUCAUACAAUCACUAAUCAGUGUAAAAAUAAAAUAAAGGUUAUUAAAUUUACUCAUCACCCCAACAAAAUGCUAAUAAUAAUAAAAAAAAUAAAAAUCUUCUAAUUAAUUAAUAAUAAAGCAUAAAACUCUAUAGGGUCUUCUCGUCUUUUUACUAAAUUUAAGCUUUUUAACUUAAAAAUAAAGUUCUAAAACAAUUUAAUUGAGACAGUCAAUUUUUCAUCGAACCAUUCAUUCCAGCUUCUAAUUAAGAAACUAAUGAUUAUGCUACCUUUGCACAGUCAAAAUACUGCGGCCAUUCAAUAUCAUCAUCGGGCA